CAGUAGCCACGGGAACACGAAGGGGGCUAGCGUUGCUCGGAAUGACUGGGCGUAAAGGGCGCGUAGGCGGCGAUCAAAGUCAGGCGUGAAAUUCCUGGGCUCAACCUGGGGGCUGCGUUUGAUACUUGGUUGCUAGAGUGAGGAAGAGGGUCGUGGAAUUCCCAGUGUAGAGGUGAAAUUCGUAGAUAUUGGGAAGAACACCGGUGGCGAAGGCGGCGACCUGGUCCUUGACUGACGCUGAGGCGCGAAAGCGUGGGGAGCAAACAGGAUUAGAUACCCAGGUAGUCCCUGUCUCUUAUAC
rnacentral:rRNA from 1 species